CCUACGGGAGGCAGCAGUGGGGAAUCUUGGACAAUGGGCGCAAGCCUGAUCCAGCCAUGCCGCGUGAGUGAAGAAGGCCUUCGGGUUGUAAAGCUCUUUUGUCAGGGACGAUAAUGACGGUACCUGAAGAAUAAGCCCCGGCAAACUUCGUGCCAGCAGCCGCGGUAAUACGAAGGGGGCUAGCGUCGUUCGGAUUUACUGGGCGUAAAGCGUACGUAGGCGGAUUGUUAAGUGAGAGGUGAAAUCCCAGGGCUCAACCCUGGAACUGCCUUUCAUACUGGUAAUCUUGAGUUCGGAAGAGGUGAGUGGAAUUCCUAGUGUAGAGGUGAAAUUCGUAGAUAUUAGGAAGAACACCGGUGGCGAAGGCGGCUCACUGGUCCGAUACUGACGCUGAGGUACGAAAGCGUGGGGAGCAAACGGGAUUAGAUACCCUGGUAGUCCACGCCGUAAACUAUGGGUGCUAGCCGUUGGAAAGCUUGCUUUUCAGUGGCGCAGCUAACGCAUUAAGCACCCCGCCUGGGGAGUACGGUCGCAAGAUUAAAACUCAAAUGAAUUGACGGCNGAAGAGUGCGAGAGACACGAGGAGAGG
rnacentral:rRNA from 1 species